rnacentral:rRNA from 1 species
UACGAAUGGGGCGAGCGUUGUUCGGAAUCACUGGGCGUAAAGCGUACGUAGGCGGAUUAGCAAGUCAGAAGUGAAAUCCCGGGGCUUAACCCCGGAAUUGCUUUUGAAACUGCUAGUCUAGAGGCCCGGAGAGGUCAGCGGAAUUCCGAGUGUAGAGGUGAAAUUCGUAGAUAUCGGGAGGAACACCAGUGGCGAAGGCGGCGACCUGGGCCAAUACUGACGCUGAGGUGCGAAAGCGUGGGGAGCAAACAGG